rnacentral:lncRNA from 1 species
CUGGGCAGGCGGCGGGCGGUGCUCGGAGCGGGCUCCGCGGCUUGCACGGCGCCUGCGGCUUGGUCCGGCUCGGCGGGCGGCGCACGGCGGGCUCGACGCUGGGGCCCCGGCGCGCCCGGCAGCGCAGCACGCAGCGCACGGACCCACGCCGCGGCCGGGCGCCCGGAGCGGCGCGGCCACUGCCCGGGGCCGGCCCUCGGCCCCGGCGCUCAGAGCGCGGCGGCUGCCUGGGCUUUAAUGGCUGCUCGGCGGGGCAGCGUCUAGGAGUGGAAGCGGCUGCGGCGCAGGAAGGCGCCCGAUCGAGCCUCCUCCGGGGCUGGCCGCGCCUGACGCGGCGCGCUCCAUGGGGGCGCGCUCCCCCCGGACGGCCCGCUGACCGGGACGCGGGGGCCCGCUCGCUCGCCGGCUGCGCGUCCCGGCCAUGAACUGAGCCUACGGGCCGACCCCGCGCCUGCUCUGCUUGCGCCUUUCUUCUCGUGCCUCCUCCGCCCGCCGCCGGCGGGCCGG